rnacentral:rRNA from 1 species
GACGAACGCUGGCGGCGUGCUUAACACAUGCAAGUCGAACGGAAAGGCCCUGCUUUUGUGGGGUGCUCGAGUGGCGAACGGGUGAGUAACACGUGAGUAACCUGCCCUUGACUUUGGGAUAACUUCAGGAAACUGGGGCUAAUACCGGAUAGGAGCUCCUGCUGCAUGGUGGGGGUUGGAAAGUUUCGGCGGUUGGGGAUGGACUCGCGGCUUAUCAGCUUGUUGGUGGGGUAGUGGCUUACCAAGGCUUUGGCGGGUAGCCGGCCUGAGAGGGUGACCGGCCACAUUGGGACUGAGAGACGGCGCAGACUCCUACGGGAGGCAGCAGUGGGGAAUAUUGCCCAAUGGGCGGAAGCCUGAUGCAGCAACGCCGCGUGCGGGAUGACGGCCUUCGGGUUGUAAACCGCUUUCGCCUGUGACGAAGCGUGAGUGACGGUAAUGGGUAAAGAAGCACCGGCUAACUACGUG